CUUUCCCUCUGGCGUCAUGCUUUACACAUGCAAGUCGAACGGUAACAGGCCGCAAGGUGCUGACGAGUGGCGAACGGGUGAGUAAUGCAUCGGAACGUGCCCAGUCGUGGGGGAUAACUACUCGAAAGAGUAGCUAAUACCGCAUACGAUCUAUGGAUGAAAGCGGGGGACCGUAAGGCCUCGCGCGAUUGGAGCGGCCGAUGUCAGAUUAGGUAGUUGGUGGGGUAAAGGCUCACCAAGCCAACGAUCUGUAGCUGGUCUGAGAGGACGACCAGCCACACUGGGACUGAGACACGGCCCAGACUCCUACGGGAGGCAGCAGUGGGGAAUUUUGGACAAUGGGCGCAAGCCUGAUCCAGCAAUGCCGCGUGCAGGAAGAAGGCCUUCGGGUUGUAAACUGCUUUUGUACGGAACGAAACGGCUCUGGUUAAUACCCGGGGCUAAUGACGGUACCGUAAGAAUAAGCACCGGCUAACUACGUG
rnacentral:rRNA from 1 species